CAGAAGCUGAAAGCCAGCCACUAAGGAGAACAAUGCAAUCGUCCUUUACACCGUGCGCUGGCUGCUAAACGGGUACUAGUCACACAACAGACUCAUACUGCAAUGCAACAACAACAGAGGAAAGAGACAACAGUCGAUUUCACACCGGAGGGGAAAUAUAUUGCAUUGCACUCCUCCAAGCUAGUUAAUAGGAACAGCCCCGGUGCGGCAACAUCUCACGGUAGAAAACUCCGCUUGCAACAGGGCUGCAGCCCAAAUUCCCAGUGACCUUAGUGCGACAGAGGAGAGGAGUGCGGCGCCCACCCUAUGAGCCACCUGAGAAGAAGGAGAUUACAGUCCUAUGCCCUAUGGAGGGGAAAGGGAUGCAAUAUUUGCAGUGAGAUGGCUCCUAGGAGGAGAAAUGUGGCCCACACGGAGACAGACCUCACACAGGAAUGGGCCACCGUGCCUGCAAAGGGCCUCUUCUCCAUCCUAAUGAUUUGGAUCAUGAGGUUUAAGAACAAAUGCCCCUUGGAAUAGAACAGCACAACAAGCACAAAAAAAUGCCCUACCGGUACAGCAGUUGGAAGGAAGAGCUGCUUCUCCAAGACGCCAUCCCGGCCUAUCCUGACAAUCUCAUGGAGUUUGUGCAUCUUGUACUUUAUGAGAUUAUUGUUAUACAAGUGUCAGUGUGUGCUGUAUGAGUCACAAAUAAAACCACGCUUUCUUCAUCAA